rnacentral:rRNA from 1 species
UACGGAGGGGGCUAGCGUUGUUCGGAAUUACUGGGCGUAAAGCGCGCGUAGGCGGAUUGGAAAGUUGGGGGUGAAAUCCCAGGGCUCAACCCUGGAACUGCCUUCAAAACUCCCAGUCUGGAGUUCGAGAGAGGUGAGUGGAAUUCCGAGUGUAGAGGUGAAAUUCGUAGAUAUUCGGAGGAACACCAGUGGCGAAGGCGGCUCACUGGCUCGAUACUGACGCUGAGGUGCGAAAGCGUGGGGAGCAAAUAGGAUUAGAUACCCUGGUAGUCCACGCCGUAAACGAUGAAUGCCAGUCGUCGGCAAGCAUGCUUGUCGGUGACACACCUAACGGAUUAAGCAUUCCGCCUGGGGAGUACGGUCGCAAGAUUAAA